AUGGUCAACCCCACGUUUUUCAACAUUGCCGUCAAUGGCAAGCCCUUGGGCUGUGUCUCCUUCGAGCUGUUUGCAGUUCCAAAGACAGCAGAAAACCUCCGUGCUCUGAGCCCUGGAAAGAAGGGAUUUGGUUAUAAGGGUUCCUGCUUUCACAGAAUUAUUCCAGGGUUUGUGUGUCAGAGUGGUGACUUCACACGCCAUACAGCAUUGGUGGCAAGUCCAUCUGCAGGGAGAAAUUUGAUGACAAGAACUUCAUCCUGAAGCAUACAGGUCCUGGCAUCUUGUCCAUGGCAAAUGCUGAACCCAGCAUGAACGUUUCCCAGUUUAUCUGCACUGCCAAGACGGCCAAGGCUGAGUGGUUGGAUGGCAAACGUGUGGUCUUUGGCAAGGUGAAAGAUGGCAUGAAUACUGAAGGUCAUGGCGCACUUUGGGUCCAGGAAUGGCAAGAGCAGCAAUUUGCAUGAAGAUCAUCAUUGCUAACUGUGGAUAACUGUAAUAAAUUUGACUGGUGUUUCUUUAAAAAAAAAAAAAAAAUACCGUGCCAGACCAAGGUAAAUUGUUUUUGAUCAUUACAGAAAUGUGAUUUCUUAAUCAGCAGCUGUCAUAGUGUUCCUUAAUUUAAAAGCUUGAACACUAAAUUAUAAAUUGGAGAGGUUGGAAUAAUUAUGGUCAUAUAUCUAGAAACACAAAUCUUUAGUAGCAAAAAAGAAAUUAGCAAGAGAAGAAAACUAUUCGGUACUUUGAAUGGAGAAAGUUUUCAUUGAUAGAAGUUUAGAUGAAAAUUAACAUGAGAAAGAAGUGACAGGCCAAGUGUGGUGGUUCACGCUUUUAACACCAACAAUUUGGGAGGCCAAGAUGGGAGGAUCUCUUGAGCCCAGGAAUUCAAGACUAGCCUGGGCAACAAGGCAAAACUCAUCUCUACUGAAAAUUUUAAAAAUCAGCUGGGCAUGGUGGCACCCGUCUGUAGUUCCAGCUACUUGGGAAGCUGAGGUGGGAGGAUCACUUGAGCCCAGGAGGUUGAGGCUGCAGUGAGCCGUCAUCACACCACUGUAUUCCAGCCUGGGCAAGAGUGAAAUCCUGUUAAAGGGGGGAAAAAAAAAAACCAGGAAGGGACAAAUAUGAGAGUUUUUGCUAAAGCUUUUAAGUUAAGAUGCAGAGAAUUGGGGGAAUGUAUAAUAAAUCAGAUUUCAUUUAGUUAUAUUAUUUACCACAUGAAUCACUUUCCUCCAAACAGUUGUCGUAAGAGCCAUGUGUUCACGUGUAAUGAAGACCGGUAUUUAACUGUGGGAACCGUGGGUGGCAUGGUGAAGGAGACUGUCCGUGACUGUGCCGCUCUCCACAGCCCCGUCUGCUGUCCUGUUUCCUCGGCUCCUCGGUGUCUGGACUGGCGUUCUGGGUGUCCCAGCGGAAAACUAAAGGGCCACAGAGGUGUAAACACACACACCACUUGGCAGGUAAUUUCCCCAUGUGCUAUCUUUUUAGGGAUCCUGAACACACAGCCUUUCCCAAAAGACUGCUCCCUCCAGCUACUGAGGAAUGAUGACAAGAAAAGGCCGAAUUGCAGUGUCUCCAUCAGCAGUUUGCUCUCUCUGGGCACACGAUGACAAAAUUUCCUGAAGCGAACCACUAGUCUGACCUCAGUAGCAGGACUGGAAGCUUCAUGCCAUGGGAGUGGUCAAGAAAGGCAUCCCAAAGAGAACUGAACUAUUAAAAAAAAAAAAAUAGACCUUUAGGAAUAGGUGAUCGUCCCCAUAUACUGGGGAUGAAAUACCCAGUGUAACCAAAUUCCCCAGUAAGAUCGCUUAGUUUGGCAAUAGUCUCUUCUUUUGAGCACGCUGAAGUUUAUUUGCUCAAUGAAGGCUGAAAUUAUAAGUCAGUAUAUAUGUAUUACUAAGUAGAACUUGAGGUAAUUAUAUGUUUUAGUCAAAAGCAGUUUCUGUGGGCUUGGUAUAAACCCUACUUUGUGAUUUGCUAAAGCACAGGAUGUUGACUCAAACCAAAACUAGUUUUGUAGUUAAUAUAUGUUGUGUUUCUGUGACUUAAUAGUCAACUAGAAAAGCCACCUACGACAUUCCCAGCUAAUUAAGUUUUAAAAGUUUUUUUUAAAAUACUUGUCACCAUAUUUUCAAAAAUACUAACAUUUGGAUUACUAGUUAUAAAAGUGAAAUUUCUACUGUGUCAUAAUCAGCCACGCAGCUGGAGACUUGCCCUCUUUGUACAGUAAAGUUGUGAAAAAAGUAUUUGCACUACAUUCAUUUAAACAUUAGGGAAAAAAAACCAACCCAUGCUUUUCUUUGCUGAGUUGUAGGGUUGUAUUAUUGGCUAGUGAGAAGCCUGGAACACCAGGACUUUGUGUGGGUGACUGCAGGUAUCAGAUCCAGGAUUAUACAGGUACUCUUGGAAGUGUCUUGGGGAUUUUCCUGGUAAGAACAACAGUGAUUGCAAAAAAAAAAAGACAAGAUGUAAAGUGAAAUCAGUAAAACAUCUUAGUAGACAGAGGGUGCUGACAUUUUAACAAAUGUGUAAAAAGUUCUUCCUAUACAUUAAUUUUCCAGAUACCCUUAAAAUGUUUAAGGAAUAUCAUUCAAAAUACUGUUUGAGAGACAUGUGACCAUCAUUCUCCAAGGGAAUGUGGAUCAUUUAGUGUGCUACUUAAAAUUAGGUGUAAAUGUAUAUGUACACUAUAAGAAUAAAAAUCGGUACCAUUUCUUUAAAGCUUUCUAAAAGAAAGUUAAUUAUUUCUAAUAGUUACAUUUUAGGAUCUCAAACUAUUUUUCUUUUGACAUAACUGCUUUCUACCCUAAAGUGUUACUUAUUGCUGUCUUCUUUUUAACAGGUGAAGAUAUUAAAGCUAGAAAUUGGAACUAGAAAAUCUAAAGAAUUCAAGGCAUCUUAACGUGACAGUUGAAUUGAACUCAUUUGAUUACAAGGUUUAUUGCAGUUAUUGAGUCUUUCUUUGAGUGCAGUGGUGCCGUUGAUGCUUACUGCAGCCUCAAUCUCCCAGGCUCAAGAAACCUUCCCACCUCAGCUUCCAGAGUAGCUGGGACCACAGGUGCAUGCCACGCCUUGUUAUUUUAUUUUUUAUUUUUUCAACAUAAACGAGGUCUUGCUAUGUCAUCCAGUCUGGUCUUGAACUCCAGUGAUCCUCCCACCUUAGCCUCCCAAAGUGCUGGAAUUACAGGCGUGAGCCACCAAACCUAGCCACCAAUUUUACUUUAGGUAAACUUUUAUUUUCAAGCAGCUUUUGUUGGUGUUGCAAGUACAAAUCAUGACUGUUUUAUAAAAUGUUCUAUAAAUAUAACCACUAUUCUUUGUAAGCCAUUUAAAAUUUUAGUCUUUCAAGUAAA